GAUGAACGCUGGCGGCGUGCCUAAUACAUGCAAGUCGAGCGAACGGACGAGAAGCUUGCUUCUCUGAUGUUAGCGGCGGACGGGUGAGUAACACGUGGAUAACCUACCUAUAAGACUGGGAUAACUUCGGGAAACCGGAGCUAAUACCGGAUAAUAUUUUGAACCGCAUGGUUCAAAAGUGAAAGACGGUCUUGCUGUCACUUAUAGAUGGAUCCGCGCUGCAUUAGCUAGUUGGUAAGGUAACGGCUUACCAAGGCAACGAUGCAUAGCCGACCUGAGAGGGUGAUCGGCCACACUGGAACUGAGACACGGUCCAGACUCCUACGGGAGGCAGCAGUAGGGAAUCUUCCGCAAUGGGCGAAAGCCUGACGGAGCAACGCCGCGUGAGUGAUGAAGGUCUUCGGAUCGUAAAACUCUGUUAUUAGGGAAGAACAUAUGUGUAAGUAACUGUGCACAUCUUGACGGUACCUAAUCAGAAAGCCACGGCUAACUACGUGCCAGCAGCCGCGGUAAUACGUAGGUGGCAAGCGUUAUCCGGAAUUAUUGGGCGNUAAGCGCGCGUAGGCGGUUUUUUAAGUCUGAUGUGAAAGCCCACGGCUCAACCGUGGAGGGUCAUUGGAAACUGGAAAACUUGAGUGCAGAAGAGGAAAGUGGAAUUCCAUGUGUAGCGGUGAAAUGCGCAGAGAUAUGGAGGAACACCAGUGGCGAAGGCGACUUUCUGGUCUGUAACUGACGCUGAUGUGCGAAAGCGUGGGGAUCAAACAGGAUUAGAUACCCUGGUAGUCCACGCCGUAAACGAUGAGUGCUAAGUGUUAGGGGGUUUCCGCCCCUUAGCGCUGCAGCUAACGCAUUAAGCACUCCGCCUGGGGAGUACGACCGCAAGGUUGAAACUCAAAGGAAUUGACGGGGACCCGCACAAGCGGUGGAGCAUGUGGUUUAAUUCGAAGCAACGCGAAGAACCUUACCAAAUCUUGACAUCCUUUGACAACUCUAGAGAUAGAGCCUUCCCCUUCGGGGGACAAAGUGACAGGUGGUGCAUGGUUGUCGUCAGCUCGUGUCGUGAGAUGUUGGGUUAAGUCCCGCAACGAGCGCAACCCUUAAGCUUAGUUGCCAUCAUUAAGUUGGGCACUCUAAGUUGACUGCCGGUGACAAACCGGAGGAAGGUGGGGAUGACGUCAAAUCAUCAUGCCCCUUAUGAUUUGGGCUACACACGUGCUACAAUGGACAAUACAAAGGGCAGCGAAACCGCGAGGUCAAGCAAAUCCCAUAAAGUUGUUCUCAGUUCGGAUUGUAGUCUGCAACUCGACUACAUGAAGCUGGAAUCGCUAGUAAUCGUAGAUCAGCAUGCUACGGUGAAUACGUUCCCGGGUCU
rnacentral:rRNA from 1 species